GACGAACGCUGGCGGCGUGCUUAACACAUGCAAGUCGAGCGGUAAGGCCCUUUCGGGGUACGACGAGCGGCGAACGGGUAGGAGUAACACGUGGGUGGACCUCGCCCUCCAGCUCUGGGAGUAAAGCCGUCGGGAAACCGGGGUACCGUAAUAACCGGGACUAUGACUCCAUGACGCAUGUUGGUGGGGUGGAAAGCCUUGUGCGGCUGAGGAU
rnacentral:rRNA from 1 species